rnacentral:rRNA from 1 species
UACGAAGGGUGCAAGCGUUACUCGGCAUUACUGGGCGUAAAGCGUGCGUCGGUGGUGAGGUAAGUCGGAUGUGAAAGCUCGGAGCUCAACUCCGAAAUGGCAUUGGAAACUACCCUGCUAGAGGAUUGGAGGGGGGACUGGAAUACUUGGUGUAGCAGUGAAAUGCGUAGAUAUCAAGUGGAACACCAGUGGCGAAGGCGAGUCCCUGGACAAUACCUGACACUGAGGCACGAAAGCUAGGGGAGCAAACAGG